CCUACGGGAGGCAGCAGUAGGGAAUCUUCCACAAUGGGCGAAAGCCUGAUGGAGCAACGCCGCGUGAGUGAUGAAGGCCUUCGGGUUGUAAAACUCUGUCAUUCGGGACGAACCGGAGUCUGAGGAAAUGCAGACUCUCUGACGGUACCGGAGGAGGAAGCCCCGGCUAACUACGUGCCAGCAGCCGCGGUAAUACGUAGGGGGCAAGCGUUGUCCGGAUUCACUGGGCGUAAAGCGCGCGCAGGCGGUGAUGUAAGUCUGAGGUGAAAACCCGAAGCUCAACUUCGGGACUGCCUUGGAUACUGCGUCACUUGAGGAUAGGAGAGGCAAGGGGAAUUCCACGUGUAGCGGUGAAAUGCGUAGAGAUGUGGAGGAACACCUGUGGCGAAGGCGCCUUGCUGGCCUAUUUCUGACGCUGAGGCGCGAAAGCGUGGGGAGCAAACAGGAUUAGAUACCCUGGUAGUCCACGCUGUAAACGAUGAGUGCUAGGUGUAGGUGGGCUCAUACCACUCUGUGCGACGACUACGACAUAAGACACNCCGCCGUCGGGUAGGUACGGUCGCGACGACGUAGAACGUACGAAGUAGAAGUUAGACGGACGUUGAGGACGNGCCGACGGCGACGACGAGGGGAGGUAGG
rnacentral:rRNA from 1 species